CGAGUUAUCCAGACUCCCAACCCCUGUGAAUUAUUACCUUUAAUUGUUGCUUCGGCGGGACAUUCGCGCCCGCCGGGACCCAAACCUUCUGAAUUUUUAAUAAGUAUCUUCUGAGUGGUUAAAAAAAUGAAUCA
rnacentral:misc_RNA from 1 species